rnacentral:rRNA from 1 species
UACGUAGGGUGCGAGCGUUAAUCGGAAUUACUGGGCGUAAAGUGUGCGCAGGUGGCCGCGCAAGUCGAGUGUGAAAUCCCCGAGCUUAACUUGGGAAUUGCGCUCGAAACUACGUGGCUCGAGUGUGGCAGAGGAAGGUGGAAUUCCACGUGUAGCGGUGAAAUUCGUAGAUAUUGGGAAGAACACCGGUGGCGAAGGCGGCGCUCUGGACCGAGACUGACGCUGAGGCGCGAAAGCGUGGGGAGCAAACAGG